AGUAGUUGCGUCCUGAAGGAGUUAGCUUCAUGUCUAGAAGACAUUGUUUUCUGUGCUGCAAAAGCAAAACCACUUUGCAUGGACUCCCAAAAGGAUGAGGAUGUAAAGCGUCAGUGGUUAGAAUUCAUUUUAAAGUGAUACCACAGCAGUUCAACUCCGACCUUUGUUUGUGUUCACGUGAUAAUUCAGACAGGAUAUGGUAUCUCAAAGUCUAGCUGAAGUCACCGUGGGAUUUGCGAAACGAUUACUCAUUCAAGAUGGGGUCGUACCCACUUUAUUUGGACCAUCUUGUGCCUCUGGAUCACAAACUAGCCUAUCCCAGGGAUCUCAGGACAGAAGGUGGCGGACAACCUACCAAACCAUCACAAGGCACAAUCGCACACUACUGACAAUUCUGAAGGGCCAAUCAGCCUGCAAUGCACGUGUUUGGCCUGAGGGAGGAAACCGGAGUACCCGGAGGAAACCCCCAAAGCACGAGGAGAACAUUCAAGCUCUGCGCACACAGGGUGGAGACGGGAUUCGAGCCUCCAACCCCAGAGACACUCACACACCAAUGGUAGCAGGAGCUGCCAUGCAAGGUGCUAGCUUACCAUCGGGAGCAACUUGGGGUACAGUGUCUUACCCAAGGACACUUCGACAUGUGGAAUCACCCAGGCUGGGAAUCGAUCCGCCAACCCUAUGAUUAGUGGACAACCCACUACCAACUGAGCCACAGCCGCCCCACCAACUGAGCCACAGCCGCCCC
ensembl:lncRNA